CGGUCACCGUAUCCGACACGGACUCGGUCUCCACAACCAACAACGACUCCGACACCAUGACCAACACGGUCACCAUCACUCUCACCAACUCACCUACCAACACCAACACGGCCACACAGACCAGCAGUGACACCACCACCACCACCGUCACCGACAACUCUAUGAACACCAACACCGGUGGUGACAACACAAACACCAACACAAACACAAACAAUCGUUGACGGGGCUGAUCGUUUCCAGCUUCUGCGCGGCAUCGGCAGCGGCACCGCCAGCAACACUGGCUUCAGCAAUGGCGGAGUGAAUGUGACCGACAUAGACAACAUCACCCUGACCAACAACGACGACGACACACUGACGAACUCGGCACCAAUAACGAUCACCAACUCACCAACCAACACCAACGAAGCCAUGCAGACCAGCAUGGACACCAUUACCACCACCAACGAGGACAACUCAAUGAACACCAACAAUGGUGGUGACAACACCAACACCAACACCAAUACGAACCCCUGAUUCAGCAAAUAGUGUGCUGAAGAUUGCUGAGGCAACGACCGAGGGCGUCCCGCACUCAGAGCAGAAAUGGCCCAAUUUCUUGCACUGCCUGCGCUCAACUGCUAUGGGUGCGUUGCGACAUACUUGUGCGAAAUAUUUGACGGUGAUCUGGCUCCAAAACGUUUCGAAAUCGCAAACACAGAGCCAGUGAAGAACGUUUGUGCUGUGUAGUUGAACUUGAGGGCAAUGCGUUAAUUAUGAACACGAGUUGUGCUAUUG